GGGCAACAGGCAUCAGGUGGGUGUGGGACUAUGCUCAAUGCUUGUGCCAAGCAUGCACAAAAUGUUUUCGUGGGCUCCAGUUGUUUCCAGGCCACAGCUGUCUCUGUGAAGACAUCAGCUGCACUGGUGCCACCAUAUCCACUCUUGUUCUCUCUGCACUGUGAAGUCCUGUCCUUCCGUUAUCAUUUGCACACACCCCUGGUGCAGUUGAAGACAAGCAAUAGUCUUUUCCUCUUUUUCUUUGAAAACCAGCUUCAUCAUCUGAUGAAUAGCUAACAGAGUGGUCAGGCAAUUAGACAGAACUUAACCUAAAUCCACAUGAAGGUGAACAAAUUCUAUGGUUCUCUCACAGCAUAGAAUGCAUGUUCAGAGGUCUGGUGCAGAUGUGCAGUUACUAGUUGGGUACUUUGUUUUCAGUCCUUGGAGGGAAUGAGAGUAAUGCUGGAGGUAAUUUCAGCUUGCUUCAGAUG